rnacentral:tRNA from 2 species
UCCGCGAUAGCUCAGUCGGUAGAGCGGGUGGCUGUUAACCACUAGGUCCCAGGUUCGAGUCCUGGUCGCGGAGCCA